UUAAAAAAAAAGACUUCUCUUCUUCUGCGAACCCUAGCUAUCGUCAUCUUCUUUCUCUUCUUCGUUCUCUGCAAACCAAACCUUCUCAUCCUUCAGAAAUCCUUCGAACCUUCAUAAAUAUUUUCUCUUUCUUCGAUUUUCACAAUUCUGGUUUUACUCGCCCAAGGUGUCUUUCUUUGGGGUUAGGGUUCAAACGCUUUUUUCAAUUGGGGAUGUUCUGUUCACCGAUGGAAUUAAACUAAUUUUCCAAAUCUCAUUAUUUGUGGGUUUUCCAAUCAAAAUUUCAAGGGAGCAGUAAUUACAGGAUUUUUUGCUAGUGUCAAGGUAAUGUUGAAGUUGAAAUACACGGUGAAGAAUCUUUAGGGAGCAGUAAUUAUCCUGAUCUGGAUGCAGUAUGGCUUAUCUGGAGUUUAUGAAGGUUGUAAUAGCUUAUGAGAAAAAACUCAGUACUUCAACAUUUGUCCCGAAGUCCACAAAGCUAAAUGAGGAACUGGAGCUACAGAAAAAGCUUCUUUGAAAAGCUUUUCAGUUGUUCGAAACAUUUACAAUAUAGUUGCCACUUGUAGAAUACAAUAUAGUUGUUUCAUGAAUACAAUGUAGUUGCUUCAAACCAAUUUUGAAUUGUCAGGUUUUUCUCAAUAUUUAUUGUUACUGAUGUGUUGUAUUUUGGAAUUAUUGCAGCUACCGUGUCCUGGUUUGAUAGGAAUGCAAACUCAUCUUCAUUUGUGAAGCCUAGUCUCAUCAUAUUUUUUAAAAGAACUGCUACUCGCUUAAAGGUUCAGUUUGACAAUUUAUUGUGCUUUGAUAGUUAUCCUCAAACUUAUUAUUUAUAGUGUCUUACUCUAUAAAUCCUACUCUAAACAUGAUUCUUGAGAAACUUAUCAUUUACAAUGUCUUACUCAAAAUCCUACUCUAAACAUAAUUUAUCGUGCUUCUGUAGUUUUAUUUAAAGUACUUAUUUCAUGUCUAUUAUCUGUGUAUCUAUGUGUGAAACUUAACUCUGGAAACGUGAAUCUGAACAAAAGUCAUAUGAGAUUUACAGGUAUAUUUACAAGUCAUAUUAGAAAUUUAGAACCACAUCAUUCUACCUAAGCUAAGCUAACUAAGGAAACUAUGAAAGCCUAAUAGAUAGGAAAUAGUAACUGUAAUCAUAUUAUAUUUGCAGUUAUACUGUGAAUCAAUUUGAUUCUGCCAAGCUGAAUCUACAAGGCAUGCUUGUGUGCACUCCUUAAUCAUGCUUUUUAAAAUUGGUUGGAUGAUCACACACUUUGUCAGUUGCAUCCCUGUUCAGAGAGGAAAAGUUGUGAUUUCCAAAUCUUUGUUUUGAGUUCUAAAUCUGAUGCUGAUAUUGGGAGUUGUUUCAUAUGCCGUUUUGAGAAAAUUAAUUAGAUUGAACUUCCUAUCCAUUUUGCUGAAAUAAUUAUCCUCUUCGAGGUUGGAUUAAAUUCAAUUCAGACUUUUUGACUUGCAAUGUACAUUUUGGAGGCCCGUCUAGAUGAGAGUGUUCAAGACAUGGAGAGCCUUAAUUCCUGAAUUCAGGAACUUGAGGCUCAGUUAAACAAGGAGAAUGAAGAGUAUAAAAGAAUUAAUUCAAGAAUAAUUUGGAAGUGUGUUCGAAUGCACAAUCAUAAUUUGGAGGUGCAAGAUGAACUUAAGAGGCA